CCUACGGGCGGCAGCAGUGGGGAAUAUUGCACAAUGGGGGAAACCCUGAUGCAGCGACGCCGCGUGAGUGAAGAAGUAUUUCGGUAUGUAAAGCUCUAUCAGCAGGAACGAGACAAGACGGUACCUGACUAAGAAGCCCCGGCUAACUACGUGCCAGCAGCCGCGGUAAUACGUAGGGGGCAAGCGUUAUCCGGAAUCACUGGGGGUAAAGGGAGCGUAGACGGCUGAGCAAGCCUGAAGUGAAAGGCGGGGGGCCAACCCCCGGACUGCUUUGGGAACUGUACGGCUGGAGUGCAGGAGAGGUAAGUGGAAUUCCUAGUGUAGCGGUGAAAUGCGUAGAUAUUAGGAGGAACACCAGUGGCGAAGGCGGCUUACUGGACUGUAACUGACGUUGAGGCUCGAAAGCGUGGGGAGCAAACAGGAUUAGAUACCCUGGUAGUC
rnacentral:rRNA from 1 species